rnacentral:rRNA from 1 species
AAACUCUGUUUCUAUAUGUAGCUUCUGAGUAAAACCAUAAAUAAAUCAAAACUUUCAACAACGGAUCUCUUGGUUCUGGCAUCGAUGAAGAACGCAGCAAAAUGCGAUAAGUAAUGUGAAUUGCAGAAUUCAGUGAAUCAUCGAAUCUUUGAACGCACAUUGCGCCCGCCAGUAUUCUGGCGGGCAUGCCUGUUCGAGCGUCAUUUCAACCCUCAAGCACAGCUUGGUGUUGGGACUCGCGUUAAUUCGCGUUCCUCAAAUUGAUUGGCGGUCACGUCGAGCUUCCAUAGCGUAGUAGUAAAACCCUCGUUACUGGUAAUCGUCGCGGCCACGCCGUUAAACCCCAACUUCUGAAUGUUGACCUCGGAUCAGGUAGGAAUACCCGCUGAACUUAAGCAUAUCAAUAAGGCGGAGGAA